UACGUAGGGUGCAAGCGUUAAUCGGAAUUACUGGGCGUAAAGCGUGCGCAGGCGGCUAUGCAAGACAGAUGUGAAAUCCCCGGGCUCAACCUGGGAACUGCAUUUGUGACUGCAAGGCUAGAGUUUGGCAGAGGGGGGUAGAAUUCCACGUGUAGCAGUGAAAUGCGUAGAGAUGUGGAGGAACACCGAUGGCGAAGGCAGCCCCCUGGGUCAAGAUUGACGCUCAUGCACGAAAGCGUGGGGAGCAAACAGG
rnacentral:rRNA from 1 species